rnacentral:rRNA from 1 species
CCUACGUGUGGCUGCAGUGGGGAAUAUUGCACAAUGGGGGAAACCCUGAUGCAGCAACGCCGCGUGAGUGAAGGAGUAUUUCGGUAUGUAAAGCUCUAUCAGUAGGGAAGAAGAAAGACGGUACCUGACUAAGAAGCCCCGGCUAACUACGUGCCAGCAGCCGCGGUAAUACGUAGGGGGCAAGCGUUAUCCGGAUUCAUUGGGCUAAAAGGGAGCGUAGGCGGGCGUUCACGUCAGCUGUAAAAUCGCGCGGCUCAACCGCGCCCCGCAGUUGAAACUGGACGCCUUGAGUUCACGACAGGCAGGCGGAAGUCGUGGUGUAGCGGUGAAAUGCAGAGAUAUCACGAGGAACCCCGAUUGCGAAGGCAGCCUGCCGGGGUGCGACUGACGCUGAGGCUCGAAGGUGCGGGUAUCAAACAGGAUUAGAUACCCUAGUAGUC